CCUACGGGAGGCAGCAGUGGGGAAUAUUGGGCAAUGGGCGCAAGCCUGACCCAGCAACGCCGCGUGAAGGAAGAAGGCUUUCGGGUUGUAAACUUCUUUUAUCAGGGACGAAGCAAGUGACGGUACCUGAUGAAUAAGCCACGGCUAACUACGGGCCAGCAGCCGCGGUAAUACGUAGGUGGCAAGCGUUACCCGGAUUUACUGGGUGUAAAGGGCGUGUAGGGGGGAGUGCAAGUCAGAUGGGAAAACGACGGGCUCAACCCAUGGCCUGCAUUUGAAACUGUACUUCUGGAGUGCUGGAGAGGCAAUCGGAAUGCCGUGUGUAGCGGUGAAAUGCGUAGAUAUCAGGAGGAACACCGGUGGCGAAGGCGGAUUGCUGGACAGUAACUGACGCUGAGGCGCGAAAGCGUGGGGAGCAAACAGGAUUAGAUACCCGUGUAGUC
rnacentral:rRNA from 1 species